rnacentral:misc_RNA from 1 species
AUAACAAGAAGUGAGGCUCAAUGUGCAUAGCUGAAAUAAUUUUGCACACCAAGUAUUCAAGGAAAAGGAGGGAAUCAAAUUAAAAAAAAUCCAUCAUUUGCCCCCCUGGUGUGCAAAACUUUCCAACAUGUUUGAAGAAUGCAGUUUGAAGUACAGCUUCCAGUACCAACAUGUGAAGACUGAGCCAAAACUGUACAAUUCACCAUAAACCCACUCUUUCAAGAAUCCAAACCAUGGCAAAACCAGCUGAUCGAUCAAUCAUUCACUCCGGUUUUGAUCAUGCGAGCAGCAACG